UGCAUCUAGUAAGGAUUUAUUAGCCUGAACCAUAUGGAAACCAUUUUUGAAGGACUUGGUCAGGGGUGGUCGGGAUAAGCUUUCCUCUUGUUAUCCCAUCCAUCGUAUGGAGAACACACACAACACACACACACACACACAGAGUGAAGAGCCCGGGCUGUCAUGUUUUAAGAGCUGGAUAAUACAUUUUUGGUGUUGAGAAGACACUUAAACGCAACUAAUGCCUCCUCGUUAGGAUCCUGAGUGGCCAAUAGUGAGAAGCGGCCGGAUUCACACAAAAAACUGCCAUCCAGGUUGGCUCUUGUUUAUGAAAACUUUGUAAAUAUUGUGGUAUGAACGCUUACUCUCAAUUUAACAUUUGAGUCACUUAGCAGAAGCUCUUAUCCAGGGCGAUUUACAGUAGUGAAUGCAUACAUUUUUGUACUUUUUCAAACUCACACUCCUGGCAUUGCACGUGCCAUGCUCUACUAACUGAGGCACACAGGACAGAGAGGGGAGAAGGGGAGAGAAUUAUCAUCAAAUAAGUUAUUUGAGUUCGUUGCGACAUUGUUAGAAGUUUGGCCAACUUUUUAUUUACAGUAUAUGGUACUGUAACUUUUUAUUUCCAGUAUAUGGUACUGUAACUUUUUAUUUCCUGUAUAUGGUACUGUAACUUUUUAUUUCCUGUAUAUGGUACUGUAACUUUUUAUUUCCUGUAUAUGGUACUGUAACUUUUUAUUUCCUGUAUAUGGUACUGUAACUUUUUAUUUACAGUAUAUGGUACUGUAACUUUUUAUUUCCUGUAUAUGGUACUGUAACUUUUUAUUUCCUGUAUAUGGUACUGUAACUUUAUUUCCUGUAUAUGGUACUGUAACUGGCUUCAAAUCAAGGAUUAUAUAUCAUCUCUGAAAACGAAAAACAAUGUCUAAAAAAAUCCACCUGUUCCUGUAGGCUACUUGACAAAGAGUGUCUGUCGACAUCACUGACGUCUCCAUGGGGACCACAGACCAUAGCCCGUGAGGACGGUUGCCAGGUUACGUGCAACUGCAACAUCUACAAUGUUCCCGAGACUCAGAUUGAGCAACGUUUCAGACCAGUAACUUUGUUUACUUCCAAGAAAGGAACAUUUUGUCAUGUUUUCCAACAAUGGAAACAUAGUCUUCAAAUUCCCAACAUGAACUUAAAAACUGUGAGUCUAUAACAGUCCAUUAACCUGAUAAAAACACAAGGGUAAACAGAAAUCCUGCGUCACCUACUAGUCGUACUGGGUCAUGAGUCAUUUGAGAAUUACAUAAACAUUCGCAAUAUUUGUAACGCCAAUAAUACCUUGAGCAGAGCCCCAAUCUGCUUCACGGCCAAGAGAACGACUUUAAAACAUGAAUCUCCUCAUCUCCUUGUCUUUCAUUCAGAGAGAGGUCAACAAUUAUUUCAAUACAACCACGCUAUCCCUAUCAUGGGCUAGAAAACCUCAAACAAAU
rnacentral:lncRNA from 13 species